rnacentral:rRNA from 1 species
AUUGAACGCUGGCGGCAGGCCUAACACAUGCAAGUCGAACGGUAACAGGAAGAAGCUUGCUUCUUUGCUGACGAGUGGCGGACGGGUGAGUAAUGUCUGGGAAACUGCCUGAUGGAGGGGGAUAACUACUGGAAACGGUAGCUAAUACCGCAUAACGUCGCAAGACCAAAGAGGGGGACCUUCGGGCCUCUUGCCAUCGGCUGUGCCCAGAUGGGAUUAGAUAGUAGGUGGGGUAACGGCUCACCUAGGCGACGAUCCCUAGCUGGUCUGAGAGGAUGACCAGCCACACUGGAAGUGAGACACGGUCCAGAGUCCUACGGGAGGCAGCAGUGGGGAAUAGUGCACAAUGGGCGGAAGCCUGAUGCAGCCAUGCGGAGUGUAUGAAGAAGGCCUUCGGGUUGUGAAGUACUUUCAGCGGGGAGGAAGGGAGUAAAGUUAAUACCUUUGCUCAUUGACGUUACCCGCAGAAGAAGCACCGGCUAACUCCGUG